UGUGUGAGUAAUGCUCAAGGCUCCAUGUGCAAACUUGACAGUGUCUCUUUGUGCUUGACAUUGUAACUUUAAGAUUUUAUGUUAUUUAAAUAUACUAAAAUAUAUCUUGUAUCAAACUGCAGGUGCUGCUACACUUCUAUUACAGCACAGCAACACUUGCCUUGUAAAAACUCUGAGGCUUGUGAAAGAGUUAAGCAAAGCAACCAGAAACGGUUUUCAGCUUUUACUUUUCAGAUACAACCUUUUAAGCAUACCUACAUUUACCUGCAAUGGCAAUCGUUUUGCAUUUUAAUGACAAAUCAAGUAUGCUAACUUGCAUUUGAAACGAAAGUGCCUUAAAUGUCUCUGGCUGUCAGAAUGAGAUGUUAGGAGCUUGAUGAAAAGAGAACAAAGAAGACAAAGUAUGAAGCCUAGAUACAGAGCAAAAUGAAAUAAAACCUUGUAUGGCCUGUCAGGGGUGUCAGUUGAUAUUCCUAUCUAAAGCACAUUAUAGUAUUACUUUGCAGCUCAUAGCUUACUCAUCUGUCUUUUUUAAUUCAUCACAUUCUAGCCCACAUCUUUUAAGUCCCAUGUGUCAACAAUGGAAGAAAUCUGUUAAUUGACAAAUGAGUGUCACAAAUGUGAAUUGGUGCCUUUACAUCAGAGGCAGGUAGUCUCUGUUGUUUUUUUGUCGGCUCUAUUAUUGGCAUAAGCCAGUGUAAGACAUCUGUCUUUGCCAGAAUGAGAGAUGACAGCCAGAGAAGGGCUGUCAUUGUUUUAGUGCAUGUUCAUUCUGCUGAGAUACUGUAUAAAGAUAAAAUGUCAGUUAAAAGAAUAUGAAAAACUAUUGGGAGGAAGUCCUUAAAUUACUUGGGAAGGGGAUCUGGGAAUUGGUGCCAGAAUUGAAAUCCGAACGUUCCAGUUUGCAUCUAUCACAUCAAUUUAAAAAUAAUACUUUCUGAGUAACUGGGUCAGUUUAUAAGGCAUUUAGGAAAACGUUAUGUUGUGUUGGCAUAAUUAGCUCAUGAGAUGGAAAGAAAAACAUAUCUUCACAGGAUAUGAGUUUAUUACAAGUUCAUUUUUCAAACACGUAUAGAAUUGUCUCAAUAAAAAUAUGCUGUGUAGCAUCUCUAGUGUUGAUUUGCAUCUGUUUUGAAAUAUUGAAAUUGCUCCAUUCCAAUUUCUUUUUCUGUUAUAGUUCUAUUUUAGAUUGAUGAAUAACAUAAUGAAAUAAAAAGCAUGGCCAGCUGUGAGUUGAUGAGACAAUUAAUAGGAAGAAAAUUAUUAACAUAGUUUCAGGGUGUCUAGGGGGUGUACAGUAUAUAAAAGUUAGUCCCAAAUCACUAAAUCCCUUUAUUGCAAUAAAUGACUUUUUAAUCUUGGAUAGCACAAAAGAGAGGAGGAAAGUGUUUUAAUGGAGGUGGUAGAAAGGGGGAAUAGAAUUGAAAUGUCAUAAAAGGCUGCCAUUUUACUUCUUACUUUAUAUCAAAAGUCAUAAGAAAGGCAGAUUGGCACUUUUAUCUUCAGCAGCUCUUACAGUCAACCCUGUGCUGUGCAGGACACUCGCUGUGUAACCCUCUCCUUCCCAAAUGACCUGUCUGUCACUUGGGUUCUGUAUGACCUUGUCUGAACUUGAGGCAUUUUGAGGGCUAUCUUGACACAAUCUGGUAAAGGACUGACUCUAGAUCUGUGGGCUGGCUGUGUUGAAGUUUCAAGGUUGAUGUCUCUGAACAACAAUUUAUUAAAAGUCUUAAUUUUAAGGUUACUUGUGUUUUGCAUUUGAAGUAGAGCUGUCAAUAUUAAAUCUGAGACAUUCUGAAUUAUGAUACUACUUAAUAUAGGUAGAAUUGUCAUUCAUAACUUUAUAGGAUUUGUGUUCUCUUUUUUCAUUUUCUAAACUUGCUUCUAGCAACUGAGUAGCAGAAAAAAUAUCAAACUGAUAUUCUUUAUCCUCUUCCCACCAUCUAAUGGGGGGGCUCUCAAAUUUUUUUUUGUCUUUGACUACUCUUUAUCUCCAAAUAUCUCCUGGCUCUUUCACUUCAGCCCAUGGUUACUAUUGAUUGUAAAUUUAGUUUUAAUUAUUGAGACCAGUAGCAGAAUUUAAUACUUCUAAUAGGUGCUAAUAAUUUUAUCAGUUUUCUGUAUCUUAGGGUCUAAAAAUCUAAGAAUGAGUAGCUUGCAGCUUCCUUGUGUUUUAAGUAUUUGGAUACUUGAGAAAUGCUGCUGCUCUGUAAAUUGGUUUCCUACAGAAAGAAUACUAAGAGAGAAGGUGGUUUUUCUCUUGAAUGCCUAAUAGUUUUAUUUUCAUUAAAAAAGCUAGUCUUUUCAAACUGCUUUGGAAUUAAUUUUGCUAGACAAUAUUUUAAAACUUGGCAAUCCAAGAAAACUAAGAAGUGUUUGCUGCUUGUAUACAAAGGUUUGUGAAACUUGGAUGCCUGUAAGUCUUCAGUGAAAGCUUUGUUCUUUUAUUUCCAUUCUUCCUUGGUUCUAAGUAGAUGUUUAAAUUUCCAGUCAAAAGCCAUGCUCUUGGUGUCUGAAUUGCCAGGUGUGUCUUCUCAGGCAGUUUUUCAUCAUGUGCUUUGAAGUUCAGUUUCCUUUGAGCAGUGGAAAGACAACACUGCCUCCAUUUUACAGAUGGCAGAACUGAGUUGUGAGGAGGCCUUGUUGAUUAACCAUACAUGCCAAAUAUAAUUAUCAGCUCUUCAUACCAACUUGCAUAAACCACUUCUGCCUGGGGGGACAAGUACAGGCUGACACCUGUCCACUUACAAAUCUGAAGUGAUCCUAGAGAGAGUUUAUUCUCAUGUGGUGCUUGGCUGCACAUUUUAUUAUCAGACAGAGGAUGUAUCGCAAGGUGGUGUUACAGCAGGACUAAAAAGAAAGAUGUGUUAUAGACUUAGAAGAAAUUUUGUUCCCUUUUGGUUAAACAGUAUGUAAUUAUAGAUAUAACAAAGGCAAUAGCAAAAAAGAUGUGGACUAAGACUGUAUCUUAUAUUGUUGAUGGACUUUCUUCCUUCUCUAAUUAAAAAUUAAGAGAUAAUCAGAAGGAUAAGUAGGAAUACCAGAUCUUGUCUCUCUAACAGAACUGAAUUAAUUUCCUCAUGAAAAUUCAUGUGCAGGACAUACAGUUGGAGUUAGUUAAGUUACUGUCCUGUUUCAUACCCAGUGCUUACAGAAAGAUGCUGUGAAGAGACUGGAGAAAACAUUCAGCUUGUGGAAUUCUGCUUUGGGAGCAUGUGUUUGUAUGACAAUAUUGUCACUGCUGAAUUAGCCCUGGAAAGGGCAGAUACUACAGAAAUGUUCUAUCUGUGUGUGCUCAUACCCUCUGGGUGAUUCCCCUCCCGACUGCCAGCUGUCACACAGAAUCUGGAACAGACAAAAAUUUAUUGGGUAGUAUUUAGAAACAUGUCAGUGGUAAUGACUGGAUCUCUGAUUUCAAUUAUCACCUACUAAAUUUAGGCUAAUGUAGUGCAUUUGUAGACCUGUUGAAUGCACUUGACAUCAUGUUUAAAAUAUUUGAAACUGCACUGGUUUUUAAUAUCAUGUGUUGACCACUUUCUUUUUCCUACUCACAUCUGGUGCAUGGCAGCAGGCAUCCCAUGUGACCUAUAAAAACUUCAGUUGUGCUAGUUUGAGUUUCUUUUUCUUCUUCAGAUUAUAUUUCAGCAGAGAAGACAGUAGUCUGAAACUACAAUUACUUUAAUGAAACACUGCUCUGAGAUCUGUAAUUUAAAUUUUCCCCCUUCCUGUAUAACCAGUGUGUAAACAGCAUUAUAAGCUUCAUUCCUAUUGUUUGGCUUUAAUUUUUUAUUGAAAAUCCUUGGUUACUUGGUGCUCUUAAAGCUAUUUUAAUAACAAAUUACCUAUAGUCACUAUUUUUCUGUAUAUGGGUGAGAUUCCAGGUGGAAUCUGAUUAUACAACAUUUCUUUUGUUAUAUUAUCAGAGAUUAAUGUUUAAAUCCAAAGUACUGAGUUCUGCUUUUCUUACUUUGCAAACAUUUUAUGUGCUAUUGUUUUAGGACUGUUGAGGGGGAUUAUUUAAAAACAAAAGUUUCUUUUUCCAAAUACUGCAAGACUUCAUUGGAGUGCUGCAACAGUUUUCUGUCCUCUGAUCUUGUAAUCUUUCCAUAUCCAUCUUUUUCAUACAUAUUUAUUAAAUUUAUAUGCUGAUGUUUGCAACUCUGGACUUGCCUUCUAACUAUUGAAAUAGUAACUGUUGAAGUGAUUUGUUUGAUAGUACUCAGGAGUACUAAUCAUCACAGAUUUUAGCUUGUGUGUCUCUGUUUUUGUGAAAAUAUUAUGCUUUAAAGUUAUAUUCACAUCUGCAUGCAACUAAUAUAAAAAAUAAAGUAGUCAAUAAAGUAGUCUCCAAAUAUGUGUAGGCUACUUUGAGUAAGAUUGUUGUCCACAUCUUGAUAGCUGCAUAAACAAACCUGGGGAAUUUUGUAAGAAUAAAUCUCCUUUAAAGCAAGAUCCCCCUGCUUACACUAAUUUUGCAUUGUUGUGAUUUCUUAUUUCUGGGAGUGUAUUUUUCAGUAGUAUUCUCAGUGGUGGUUAGCAGGUUCUUUUCCUGCCUAAUGCUUCCAGAUAUCAUUUAGAUGACUUCUUGUUAAGAAUCUCAAAGUUGUUUUAAACUGAAAUUAAUAUUAAAAAACUCUGAGCAUGUUAUCUCUGAAAUACAAUAGCAGAAGCUUUCAAAUUGGAUGUUGCAAACGUUCCUGCUGGGAGAGGAAACAGAUCUUGAAGAUGGAAUUUAAGUUGAAUGUUGGCCUUCUGGUGAAAUGUGUAAGGAUGUACAGUCUUACUGAUGAUUUGUUAUGUGCAGAAUUUCUAGAAGUGUUUUGGAUGUUCUUCUCAAAUCACUCCUGUGCUGCUUGGCUGCUACCUUGGAUGACCCAGAGAUGGACAGUUGUGUUGGCUCCCACUUUAUUUCCACAAAUUCUUCUGUUCUGUGUGACUGCGAAAAUGUUUCCUCUGCUCCCAGAGAAGUCCAAGAAAACUACUGGUACUGAUGGAAGAUGAAAAUAUGAUUCAUGCUGACAUCAUGUAUUACCAAGCAAAUCUGUUUUGUGAAAGAUGUUUAUUUUAUGGUGUUGAAAUAAAAAAUCAGUGAAUCGUUCUUGAAGGAGUAUUGGUUCA